UGGGGAAUUUUGGACAAUGGGCGAAAGCCUGAUCCAGCAAUGCCGCGUGUGUGAAGAAGGCCUUCGGGUUGUAAAGCACUUUUGUCCGGAAAGAAAUCCUUGGCUCUAAUACAGUCGGGGGAUGACGGUACCGGAAGAAUAAGCACCGGCUAACUACGUGCCAGCAGCCGCGGUAAUACGUAGGGUGCAAGCGUUAAUCGGAAUUACUGGGCGUAAAGCGUGCGCAGGCGGUUUGCUAAGACCGAUGUGAAAUCCCCGGGCUCAACCUGGGAACUGCAUUGGUGACUGGCAGGCUAGAGUAUGGCAGAGGGGGGUAGAAUUCCACGUGUAGCAGUGAAAUGCGUAGAGAUGUGGAGGAAUACCGAUGGCGAAGGCAGCCCCCUGGGCCAAUACUGACGCUCAUGCACGAAAGCGUGGGGAGCAAACAGGAUUAGAUACCCUGGUAGUCCACGCCCUAAAACGAUGUCAACUAGUUGUUGGGGAUUCAUUUCCUUAGUAACGUAGCUAACGCGUGAAGUUGACCGUCUGGGGAGUACGGUCGCAAGAUUAAAACUUAAAUGAAUUGAC
rnacentral:rRNA from 1 species